rfam:Terrisporobacter sp. 08-306576 Contig111, whole genome shotgun sequence.
CUAAAAACAAUAAUAAAGAAAUAGUAAAAAAUGAAAUCUUUACAGAGAGGGAAUAGUGGUGAGAGUUCCUAAGAGGAAGUUUUUGAACCAGUCUUUUAGUAUAAAAACGGUAAAAAGUUUUUACGGGUCAGGACCGUUACAUCCCUUGAGAGAAUCAUAAUAUAUUAUGAUUAAUUAGAGUGGUACCGCGGAAAGUCAGCCUUUCGUCUCUAUU